UUAAAAUUCUUACUCCACAGGCUGUUCGUAGCAAGGGUCGUCCUCCAUUCAAAAGAAAACAAUCAAAAGUUGAUCAAAUUAUCCGCAAAGUAAAAGAGAAGAAAUUGCGUAUACAAAAAAUUAAUUAAAAAGGAUUAAGGAGAGUUCUUUUGAGGUGUGAUCUACCAAGUGCAUGUGUAAUUAAGUCUCAGUUUUUUAGUUUUAUAUAAACAUGUUAUUGAUGGAAGAUAACUUUAUGAUAGGGAUCAUGUUUUAUAGUCGGUUUGUUGAUUUUAUAGUUGAUGAUGUGACAAAUUUUAACAUAUGAUUGAUAUUUAGAGUAACAUUAUAUGAAUUUGAUUUGUAAUUUUAUUUUCAGUAAUUAUGAGUUUUUAGUUUAUUUUUGUUAAUCUAAGCAGUUAUCUCUUUUGCAUUUUGUUAUUGCAUUGUGUUAGACUCAUAUUUAUGUGAAGAAAAAUCAAAGGAAUAAAUUAUCCUAACCAAACACAAGACAGCCUAGGAAACAAGCAAGUGAGAGUUUCUUAACCCCCUGGUCCACCACAAACAGAAGCAGUAGACAGCAAACAAGAGGAGUCUAAAGCUGUGAUGGAACAAGAGGCAAAUAAAAAGGGAGUAGAAGGGCAAAAGUCUCUUUAGUUGAAGAAUUUGAAGAAUCUGAAAGGGAGUUGCAGGUUAUGGUUUGUCUGGAUGUGUUUUGAUGGACUGUGUAAUGUGAACAAGUUUAUAAUAUGUAGCAAUGAAGAAAGCUUGUAUUGAAUAUAAUCCAUAAACUGGUUCUCAUUACAUGAAAUCAAUAAAAAGUACAUUUCUUGCA